rnacentral:lncRNA from 1 species
UUUUUCCUAGUUUAGGGUAACAGGUGAAGAAAUUGAAGAUCAGGGAAGUUAAAUGAUUUGCCUGAAAACUGCCACCUCACAGGAUUGAGAAUAAAAAUGAGCUCCCCGCUUAUCUGUGAGUACCACUUAAAUUUGCAGCCGUGGGUUGCCAGGAGGGACCGUUGCCCAAGGUGCUGCCUUUAAGAAGGGAAUCUUCAUCAACUGU